rnacentral:lncRNA from 1 species
GGGCAGGUGGGCAAGAACUUGAUGUUGAAGGCAAAGUUGAGAGCUGGAGGGGAAUGAGUGUGCUGGGCGCUGUGAAGUUUCCCACACCUUCCAGCAUCUUUGUGCUUAUCCCCUGGAAACGCUUGCGUGUUUGUGCAUAGGGGGAUCUGUGCCUGAUUCUGGAUCUGUGCUUGCUUCCCGGCGAGGUGCAGAGGUGAGAUCGAGGUCCUAGACUGUCCAGCACAGAGCCAGCAUGGUGGGGUGGGCAGCAGUGAAGGACACAGAACUGCCUGACAUGGCUGGGCAGAGAAGGCCUGAGAAGUGGCUGGUGGGGUGAGGAAGUGGUGGCCAGACAUGAAGGGGCCUCUGGGCUGGGAGGAGGAAGACACAGAGUUGCUGUUGGUGGCCAAGGGGACUGUUCCAUCUCAGUGGAGGCCAGUGGAGAUUGAUACUCACAACCAGAGACAAGAGGGGGCCAUGGACCUGUGUGGGCAGAUGCCAACCGAGACCAAAUACCUUCCCUCCAAAGCCACAUCUUUACCUUUGACCCUAAAAUGUAGAAGGAGGUUUCACCUCCUGGGCAGAAGGAGGGGAAAGAGAAAUGUUAAACUGACUGAUUUUAAACCUGAAGUGACCAAGUCUGCAUUUCUUUCGCGAGACAGUCUUAGAACCCAAUGUAGAAGUUAAUCUAAAUUUUAGAAAUAGAAGAAAAUUUACUUUUCGUUUUGCUCACCUGGGUUUUGUGGCGUGAGAUUGUUAUUCAGACUACAAACGAGUUAAUGCCUGACACCUUUGGAAGCAAGAGACCUGGAUUCCUGGUGGUCUCUCUCCUAGAGGCAACUCUUGUCACGUGUAUUUCCCUACUGCUAAAGUUGAUUGGGGACACAUUUUUGUGGCAUGUGGGACGCUGCCUCAGUGUGGUUUGAUGAGCAGUGCCAUGUCCGCGCCCAGGAUUCGAACCAACGAAACACAGGGCCGCCUGCAGCGGAGCGCGAGAACUUAACCACUCGGCCACGGGGCCAGCUCCCCACAUUCGACUCCGCAAACUCUGGCCUGUGGCCAAUACAGCCCACGGCUUUUGUAUGGCUUCGAUACCUGUUUUCGUACAGUCCGUUGAGCUAAGACUAAUUUUACAUUUUUAAAUGACUGAAACGAAACCAAAAGAACAAUAUUUUGAGACGUGAGAAUUCUAUUUCAGUCUCCAUAAAUAAAGUU